AAUCAACGCUGGCGGCGUGCCUAACACAUGCCAGUCGAACGCGAAAGCCCCGCAAGGGGUAAGUAGAGUGGCAAACGGGUGAGUAACACGUGGGUGACCUGCCUUCGAGUGGGGGAUAACGUCCCGAAAGGGACGCUAAUACCGCAUGACAUCCUGCUUUUGAAAAAGCGGAGAUCAAAGCUGGGGAUCGCAAGACCUAGCGCUUGAAGAGGGGCCCGCGCCUGAUUAGCUAGUUGGUGAGGUAACGGCUCACCAAGGCGACGAUCAGUAUCCGGCCUGAGAGGGCGGACGGACACACUGGGACUGAGACACGGCCCAGACUCCUACGGGAGGCAGCAGUGGGGAAUUGUUCGCAAUGGGCGCAAGCCUGACGACGCAACGCCGCGUGGAGGACGAAGAUCUUCGGGUCGUAAACUCCUGUCGAGCGGGACGAACGCUUCGCGGAUGAAUAAUCCGCGGAAUUGACGGUACCGCUAAAGGAAGCCCCGGCUAACUCCGUG
rnacentral:rRNA from 1 species